UACGUAGGGUGCAAGCGUUAAUCGGAAUUACUGGGCGUAAAGCGUGCGCAGGCGGUUGUGCAAGACCGAUGUGAAAUCCCCGGGCUUAACCUGGGAAUGGCAUUGGUGACUGCACGGCUAGAGUGUGUCAGAGGGGGGUAGAAUUCCACGUGUAGCAGUGAAAUGCGUAGAGAUGUGGAGGAAUACCGAUGGCGAAGGCAGCCCCCUGGGAUAACACUGACGCUCAUGCACGAAAGCGUGGG
rnacentral:rRNA from 1 species